UCCGGACUCCCUCUAAAUUCCUGAAAUUAGAGAGGAAAGUCCGGACUCCAUAUGGCAGCGCAAGGGGUAACGCCCCUCGGUAGUAAUACUAGGAACAGUGGAACAGAGAGAAUGUCCAGGGCAUUGAGCCAGACACCGGGAACGGGAGGGUCUGGGGAGCCGCUGGAGUGAAAACAGCCAAACUCUGCGCGGAGCAAGAUCAAAUAGGGUGACAUUAGUAGGGCGGCCAGCCCGUAGUCACCGGGUAAGAUCGCUUGAGGGUGUCAGUAAUGCCACUCCCAGAGGAAUGAUCAUCCACGAUUAUCGGGGCAAAUUAUGGGACCUGGUGAUUGGGACAGAAUCCGGCUUAUAGCAAAACCGAGAUC
rnacentral:RNase_P_RNA from 1 species